GGCAGAUCUCUGUGAGUUUGAGACCAGUCUGGUCUUCAGAGACAGUGCCAGGAUGGGCUACAAAGCUACACAGAGAAAGUCUGUUUCAAAAAACCAAAAAAAAAAAAAAGAAAAAGAAGAAAAUACAGGAAAGGUUUUGAAAAUAAAAUAGUACAUAUCUUUUGUUGUGUAUAUUGUCACUACCAUGCCAGGACCCAAAAACGGAGUUAAAAGAAAACAUCUGGGAAUUGAUUUUCUCCUUUCAUCCUUUGAACAAUGAAACUCAAAUUCAGGUCCUCAGGCUUGGUGUCAAUGUGUUUGAUAUCUCCAAAGCUUUAGAACACUUGAUAGAUUAUGUCUAUAGGAAGAGUAGAGGCUGACAAAUGGGUUUCUCAUUUGAACUACAAAUUUCAAAUAUGUAUAGCCUGUUCGAAACUCCAAAUAAAAAUUCUUUAAAAUUAAUGCCCAAAUUUUUGAAAUCUUUGUGUACUCAGGCUUAUUUAAUGCCUCUAAACACCUGGUUGAUACAUCAUGCCUGUAUUGCCUUGGAAAUGGAGACAGGAGGAUCAGGACUUGAAGGACAGUCCUGACUAAGCAACAGCUCCAAUGACUGCUUAGGUUACAGGAGACCUUGCCUCAAAAGAAAUAAUUGUCAAUAAUCAGAAAAAAUUUGUUUGAGGGUAUCUGUGUGUUCAAAUGUAAAGAACAAUCAUACAUUCUAAGUGAUAUAAAAGGCUAUAUAGGAGGAAGACCAUGGAAACAGACAUGUAAUCCCUGUUUCUUGGGAGAACUGAAAGUUCAAGGACACAUUAGGCUACAGAGUGUCUUUGAGGUCAACUAAGAAUAUGUGACCACACCUUUUCAUUUAUAAAAAAGAGGGGAAUGAGGCAAAAAAUUAUGUAAAUAAGACACCUCUUUGGAUGUUUGCAAUGAAAAUGUCUCCAAUUCAAUCUCAACUUUGGAAAAGUAAAAGAAGGACAGGAGAGAAAACAACAAAUGGUUCCAUUACCAAAGGUAGUUAUGGAUGGAAAUAAAUGAGUGCAAGUGUCUGGUUUAUGUAGUGAUGGACCUUCAAGAC
rnacentral:lncRNA from 1 species